CUCAAGCCCUGCCCUCAUCCUUUCCUGGAUCUCACCUCCAGGCUGAUGGCACUAAGAGCCCUCCUGGGAGUGUCCUGCCCUGCAUUCCCAUGAGCUCCCCAGCACUGAGGGGGUGACUACGCAACCAAGGGCUCAGCCAGAAGAAGGGGAACUGCUUCUGCUGGAGACAUCUCUGAUCUGUCUCAGCUGGGAUAUUCCCAUAUAUUUUGCCCCUUAAGUUUGGAGUGGCCUGACCCCCAGUCACCUCCCUCCUCCCCCAGCCCAGUGAGGGCUGCUUGUGCCUGGACCUUCUCCUUAGUUAAAUCUCUGAUAGGUUUUGCCCGAAUGGGGGAGCUCCCACUGCCUUGUGCCUGGGGGUGAUGAGUGUAUCUCCUCAGUGUGCACAGUGGAGAUCUGCCCAGGGUGGAGACACUGGCUGCUCCAGCGUGACUGUCCUAGAAACCCAAGGAGCAUUGUCAAACAGCUGCCACCCGGCUCUGCCUGCCCCGCAGCCAACGCAUGGACCAGCAACAUCCUCCAGCUCAUGCAUGACAGCAGUGACCUGGCAGAAGAGGCACCUCAGAGAGCAACGUUUAGACUGUGCAGUGGGGGUUUGAUCCUCUCCAGCAAGCCAGAGCAGGAGGUUGUUGCAAGGAAAGGCUGAGAUUGCCUUCAAGCCACUGCUUUGCCAUGUGGAA
rnacentral:lncRNA from 1 species